rnacentral:rRNA from 3 species
GGCGGACGGGUGAGUAAUGCUUAGGAAUCUGCCUAUUAGUGGGGGACAACAUUCCGAAAGGAAUGCUAAUACCGCAUACGCCCUACGGGGGAAAGCAGGGGAUCUUCGGACCUUGCGCUAAUAGAUGAGCCUAAGUCGGAUUAGCUAGUUGGUGGGGUAAAGGCCUACCAAGGCGACGAUCUGUAGCGGGUCUGAGAGGAUGAUCCGCCACACUGGGACUGAGACACGGCCCAGACUCCUACGGGAGGCAGCAGUGGGGAAUAUUGGACAAUGGGCGGAAGCCUGAUCCAGCCAUGCCGCGUGUGUGAAGAAGGCCUUUUGGUUGUAAAGCACUUUAAGCGAGGAGGAGGCUCCUUUAGUUAAUACCUAAAGAGAGUGGACGUUACUCGCAGAAUAAGCACCGGCUAACUCUGUGCCAGCAGCCGCGGUAAUACAGAGGGUGCGAGCGUUAAUCGGAUUUACUGGGCGUAAAGCGUGCGUAGGCGGCUUUUUAAGUCGGAUGUGAAAUCCCUGAGCUUAACUUAGGAAUUGCAUUCGAUACUGGAAAGCUAGAGUAUGGGAGAGGAUGGUAGAAUUCCAGGUGUAGCGGUGAAAUGCGUAGAGAUCUGGAGGAAUACCGAUGGCGAAGGCAGCCAUCUGGCCUAAUACUGACGCUGAGGUACGAAAGCAUGGGGAGCAAACAGGAUUAGAUACCCUGGUAGUCCAUGCCGUAAACGAUGUCUACUAGCCGUUGGGGCCUUUGAGGCUUUAGUGGCGCAGCUAACGCGAUAAGUAGACCGCC